GAUGAACGCUGGCGGCGUGCCUAAUACAUGCAAGUCGAGCGAACGGACGAGAAGCUUGCUUUUCUGAUGUUAGCGGCGGACGGGUGAGUAACACGUGGAUAACCUACCUAUAAGACUGGGAUAACUUCGGGAAACCGGAGCUAAUACCGGAUAAUAUUUUGAACCGCAUGGUUCAAAAGUGAAAGACGGUCUUGCUGUCACUUAUAGAUGGAUCCGCGCUGCAUUAGCUAGUUGGUAAGGUAACGGCUUACCAAGGCAACGAUGCAUAGCCGACCUGAGAGGGAGAGAGGACACAAUGGGAGUGAGACAGGAAAAAGACGCAUGCGGGAGGGAGCAGUAGGGAAUGGUCGGAAAUGGGCGAAAGCAUGAAGGAGCAAGGCGGAGUGAGUGAUGAAGGGCUUAAGAGCGUAAAAAUCGGUGAAGAGGGAAAAACAGAUGUGUAAGUAAAAGUGCACAGCUUGACGGUACCUAAUCAGAAAGAAAAGGAUAACGAAGUG
rnacentral:rRNA from 1 species